UGGGGAAUAUUGGGCAAUGGGCGCAAGCCUGAUCCAGCCAUGCCGCGUGAGUGAAGAAGGCCUUCGGGUUGUAAAGCUCUUUCAGACGGAAAGAAAUCGCGCAGGAUAAUACUCUGCGUGGAUGACGGUACCGGAAGAAGAAGCACCGGCUAACUACGUGCCAGCAGCCGCGGUAAUACGUAGGGUGCGAGCGUUAAUCGGAAUUACUGGGCGUAAAGCGUGCGCAGGCGGUUAUGUAAGACAGAUGUGAAAUCCCCGGGCUCAACCUGGGAACUGCGUUUGUGACUGCAUAACUAGAGUACGGCAGAGGGAGGUGGAAUUCCGCGUGUAGCAGUGAAAUGCGUAGAGAUGCGGAGGAACACCGAUGGCGAAGGCAGCCUCCUGGGCCAGUACUGACGCUCAUGCACGAAAGCGUGGGGAGCAAACA
rnacentral:rRNA from 1 species